rnacentral:rRNA from 1 species
ACACGACUACAUUAGAUACCCGCGUAGUCCUAGCCGUAAACGAUACUCGCUAGGUGUCGGCCACGGUGCGACCGUUGUCGGUGCCGUAGGGAAGCCGUGAAGCGAGCCACCUGGGAAGUACGGCCGCAAGGCUGAAACUUAAAGGAAUUGGCGGGGGAGCACCGCAACGGGUGGAGCUUGCGGUUUAAUUGGAUUCAACGCCGGAAAUCUUACCGGGACCGACAGCAACAUGAAGGCCAGGCUGAAGACUUUGCCGGAUUAGCUG